rnacentral:rRNA from 1 species
UACAGAGGGUGCAAGCGUUAAUCGGAGUGACUGGGCGUAAAGGGCGUGUAGGUGGAUGGAUAAGUUAUGCGUGAAAUCCCCGGGCUCAACCUGGGAACUGCAUUCAAAACUGACGAGCUAGAGUAUGGUAGAGGGUGGUGGAAUUUCCUGUGUAGCGGUGAAAUGCGUAGAUAUAGGAAGGAACACCAGUGGCGAAGGCGACCACCUGGACUGAUACUGACACUGAGGUGCGAAAGCGUGGGGAGCAAACAGG